rnacentral:rRNA from 1 species
GACGAACCGAGCGAACGUUGUUCGGAAUCACUGGGCUUAAAGGGCGCGUAGGCGGGCUGUCAAGUCUGGGGUGAAAUCCCGCGGCUCAACCGUGGAACUGCCUCAGAUACUGACGGUCUCGAGGGAGGUAGGGGCGAGCGGAACUGAUGGUGGAGCGGUGAAAUGCGUUGAUAUCAUCAGGAACUCCGGUGGCGAAGGCGGCUCGCUGGACCUCUUCUGACGCUGAGGCGCGAAAAGCUAGGGGGAGCAAAACGGG